GAACGGUGAAGCGAGAGCUUGCUCUUGUGGAUCAGUGGCGAACGGGUGAGUAACACGUGAGUAACCUGCCCCAGACUCUGGGAUAAGCCUUGGAAACGAGGUCUAAUACCGGAUAAGCGGCCCCACCGCAUGGUGAGGGUUGGGAAAGAUUUUUUGGUCUGGGAUGGACUCGCGGCCUAUCAGCUUGUUGGUGAGGUAAUGGCUCACCAAGGCGACGACGGGUAGCCGGCCUGAGAGGGCGACCGGCCACACUGGAACUGAGACACGGUCCAGACUCCUACGGGAGGCAGCAGUGGGGAAUAUUGCACAAUGGGCGAAAGCCUGAUGCAGCGACGCCGCGUGGGGGAUGAAGGCCUUCGGGUUGUAAACCCCUUUCAGCAGGGAAGAAGCGAAAGUGACGGUACCUGCAGAAGAAGCGCCGGCUAACUACGUGCCAGCAGCCGCGGUAAUACGUAGGGCGCAAGCGUUGUCCGGAAUUAUUGGGCGUAAAGAGCUCGUAGGCGGCUUGUCGCGUCUGCUGUGAAAGCACGAGGCUCAACCUCGUGUCCGCAGUGGGUACGGGCAGGCUAGAGUGUGGUAGGGGAGACUGGAAUUCCUGGUGUAGCGGUGGAAUGCGCAGAUAUCAGGAGGAACACCGAUGGCGAAGGCAGGUCUCUGGGCCACAACUG
rnacentral:rRNA from 1 species